GCAAAUUGGAUCCGUAACUUCGGAAUAAGGAUUGGCUCUGAGGAGCGGGGCGUGUCGGGCUUGGUCGGGAAGUGGGUCUGGCUGACUUGCCGGGCCUGGCCUCCCGCGGAUCUUCCUUGCUGCAAGGCUUUUGGGGCGGUUACGCCGUCUUGAUUGUUCUUUUUGGCCGCCAUUCAACACUAAGCUCAGAACUGGCACGGACUAGGGGAAUCCAACUGUCUAAUUAAAACAAAGCACAUGGCUGCACCUUACUCGAAAGACACUGAAUCAACCAUACGUGAACCGGUGGAACAGUAUAUACCGAAAUGUUCGGAAUAAUGUAGCGCGAAAGUGGGUACUAAUAGCAAAGUAUUAUUUAAACAAUAUUCCAAGUU
rnacentral:ncRNA from 1 species